UUUUUUUUUUUUGUCUUUUUGUCUUUUUGUCUUUUGUCUUUUUAGGGCCGCACCUGCGGCAUAUGGAAGUUCCCAGGCUAGGGAUCCAAUCGGAGCUACAGCUGCCAGCCUCCGCCAGAGCCACAGCAACGCCAGACCCGAGCUGCAUCUGCCACCUACACUACAGCUCACGGCAACGCCGGAUCCUUAACCCUCAGAGCAAGGCCAAGGAUCAAACCCGAAACCUCAUGGUUCCUAGUCAGAUUCGUUUCUGUUGCGCCACGAAGGGAACUCCUCACCUUGUUUUCUAGAACCUUCUCCAGUAUUCAUUUCCUUCUAGAUUUAGCAGCCUCCUCACUCUCAUCCCCAGACACCCUCGGCACAUUCUGCCUCAGGGCCUUUGCACUUGCUGCUUGCUCUGUCUGGACUCCUCCUUCCCCAGGUAGCUUGUCCCAUGCCCACCUCAGAUCUUUGCUCAAAAUCACCUCAGCAGGCCUUCUCCUGAUCAUCCCACUUAACACUGAACCCCCUCCCUGCCUUCCCCUCUUCCUACCCACCCCCCAUCCCUCUUUCCUCUUUGGUUUUGUUAGCACUUGCCCCCUUCCAACCCUCUAAAUACUUUACUCAUUUGUUUUAUUUGUAGUUGGUCUCCCCUUAUUAUCAUGAAAGUUGCAAUCUACUUGUCAGGAUCUUCCCCCUCUGUUUUGUUCAGUAUUAUAUCCCUGACACUAAGCAGGGCCUGAUAUAGCAGGUGCUCAAUAAACAUUUAUUAAGUGAAUGAGUGAAAAAGUGGCCUCCUCUUUUCAGAGCGAUGCUGUGUUCUGCUCCCUGAGGCCCUUCUCUCUAUCAAAUGAAGGUCAGCUCAUCUGGGAACUUCUUCCAUAAAUGCUUUUCUUCCUCCAGAAUGAUCUCCUUCCAAGGGGGUCAGUGGUGAAUUUUGGCAAAACUCUUUAUGGUUUGCAAACUCCUUGGAGUAUCCACACAAAGCUCUGGAAAUGGUUCCCAGAAAAACAGAUGUCCAGACAAAACAAUUUUGCAUUCAACUGUAGUCCAUCAGGACGCCCCAAGUAAUGAAAGAAUUUUACAUUUUAGAAGCUGUUCUCAGGAAUUCCUGUUGUGACUCAGCAGUAACAAACCCAACUAGAAUCUAUGAGGACAUAGGUUUGAUCCCUGGCCUCACUCAGUGGGUUAAGGAUCCAGCGUUGUCGUGAGCUGUGGUGUAGGUCAGCAGCUGCAGCCCCGAUGUGACUCCUAGCCUGGGAACUUCCACAGGCCACAGGUAGAGCUGAGCCCUCUUCCUGUCCCAAUUCCUGCCCGGUUCAAGCUCUCUUUCCUCCUGGAUGGGAGAGAUGCAGUUCUGUUUCCAGCAAAAGAUUCCUGUCUUGUCACAGAAGGAACUCGGAAGCGAGACAAGGAGAUGGAGAAAGACACUUAUCACCCAAAAUUUGUGGUUUCCUGUUAGUCUGGAGCUUCCUGCUUUCUUUGUCUGCCCAUGGACAUGGCUGUUUACACGAGGGACACAUGGUUUCCUGCUACCUGGCCUGUGCCCCCCCUUCCCUGCUCACACCUAGCUUUCUGCCUGCUGGUAACAGUUCCCACGGCACACCCAGCUCCUUCCUCUUGGCUCUUCCUGCCUCUGAACUGGCUCUACCUUGUCUGAUUCUGAGACCAAGUCCAAUGGGUGUGGGGUGGGGGGAGCACAGUGAAGGGUCCUCACAGUCCAAGCAGAUCUUGAGCACCAGCUAGGGGUUCUACAGUUCAACUCAAUUCUAACACUGUCCAGACAGAGAUAGCUUCAGAUUUUACAGGUUAAGGGCUCAGUCCUCCAACACUGCCUCCUCCCCCACCCCACGCCCCCCCCACUAUGGUGAGUCCAGAUUGUCCCGUGCCUCUAACCAACAAGCUAUAGAUUGAAGGUGCCAAUGAUGUGGCUCGGCCUCUGUCACCUGUGCGGAGUACAAACUCAGAGACAGAGUUUUGAGUGCAGUGAAGGAGAGAAAGAUAGCGUUAUUGCUUUGCUGAACCCAGGAGGCCACAGCAGGCUAAGGCCUUAAAGACCAUGCUCCCCUUGGGAGAAAUUGGGAGGUGGUUUUAUAGUUUGGGAGUGAAAAAUAGGGCCAUUGAUACAGAGCAGGUAGAAGAGAGAUUGCCUUGUUUUUCAAAGCUGGUUUUUAGGUGGUCCCAGAAUUGGUUCUGAUGAUCCUUCUUUAGGAAUGAAGAAUGCCUCAUCAGCAUCUUCAUUUGUUGAGGGUUUUAGUUCUGCUGAAGAAUUCGAAGAUAGUGUUAGGUAUAUUCCCUGAGGAGGAACCAGGACCCUGCCCCCAGGCUGCACUAUUGUCUCUAGACGGCUCCUCCCAGGUGUCUGCAUCCCCUCCCUUCCCUGAGUAACCACUGUUUGAACCUGCUUUUUGGCACGCAGUCUUGGAGGCUGAAGCUCAUUCCCCCGAAACAAUAAGUGGGGGACACAGGAAAGCUUGUGGGUCCGGGAACCCCACAGGGCUCUGCUUGGGUUUCAGUUCCCUGGGUUCAAAUAAUUUUCAAGAGAGACUCACAGAACAGAGGAAGCCAGUUUACUUACUAGGUUACUGGUUUAUUAUAGGACAAAACCUAGAUAGAGAAGAUACAAGGGAAAGGGAGAGGGAAGGGACACAGAGAUUCCAUGCCCUCUGCUAGUGCCCCGUGGUCACCACCUCCUGUGGGCAUCAAGCCAGAAGCUCUUUGAACCCUUUCUUUUGGGUUUGUACGGAGGCUCUCUUGCAUAGACAGGGUGGAUUAAAUCUUUGGCCAUUGGUGAUUAAACUCAAUCACCAGCCCCUCUCCCCUUCUCAGCCUUUGGGACUUAAAGUCCAAACCCUGGCAACCAGCUCCAGCCUCAGCUAGGAUUCCAAAGUCACCUCUUUAACAUAACAAAAGCCACUUUAAUGCUCGAAUCACAGGAAAUUCCAAGAGCUCUAGGAACUCUCUCAGGAAAUGGGUGGAAGACCAAAUAUAUAUAUAUUUUUAUUAUAAAUCAUACUAUUCUAACUGGGAGUGGAACUUUGUGUGCAUCUUGGUGUUCCAGCCUUUUUCUUCCUUAGGCAGGUAAUCUCUCCUCUCUCUCUCUCUCCCCUACUCUUUCCUAAGGGCUUGGCUGGAAAGGUUAGAUUAGCUUUUUCCCCAGAAAUUCUGGAUACGAUCCUACAUUUUCCCAAUUUAAGUAGAAGAAAGGGAAGGAAGGUGAUCAUAUGUCAACUUCUGGUGCCUUGUUCCCAGGCUCACAGUUGCCCGUUUUCCCCAAACCACCCCUUCCUUUUAGGUAGAGGGUUCUGUCUUCCCAGAAAGUGUCCACAUGGAAACUUGAUCUCUGUCCCAACCCCAGAGGGCUAGCAGCCACCUUGCAAAUUGUCACUCAGUCUUGUGGGACCUGCUUUGCUGUCUUCCUCUGGAGGCUGGCCUCUGAGUUUUGCUCUCUGGCCUUUGCAGGGUGCAUUAGCACUGCACUAAAUUGUGCCUACGGCUCCAUCCAAGCAGGUUAUAAGACCUUUAAGCAUCUUUGUGUGUUUGUCAGCACAAGUCAUGGAGCAUAAAAGUAUUGAAUUGUGGAGUUUCCGGCGUGGCUCAGUGGUUAAUGUAUCCAAUAGGAGCCAUGUGGUUGCGGGUUCAAUCCCUGGCCUUGCUCAGUGGGUUAAGGAUCUGGCGUUGCCGUGAGCUGCGGUGUAGGUCGCAGACGUGGCUCAGAUCCCGCGUUGCUGUGGCUCUGGUGUAAGCCAACAGCUGUAGCUCCAAUUGGACUCCUAGCCGGGGCACCUCCAUAUACCGUGGAUGCAGCCCUAAAAAGCCAAACAAACAAACAAACUGAAUUGUUAUAUACCUUGGGUUCCUUUUCUCCCUCUCAUUUCUUCAGGUCUCUGCAGCCUUCAGAGCAUGCUUUCACAACCCACAGGGCAGUGUAGCUUGUUGGGAGUGUGGUCUCUUGAGUCACUGUUAACCCACGUGUCCUGCUUCUUUCUCUCUAGCUAAAUGGGACUUAACAAGGGAUGAUUCUUAUGGAUUUUCAUUAAUUUCCUCACCCUUCUUCCCCUGAGACCCUACACCUGGCAGAAAUUUAUUUAUUCAUUUAUUCAACAAGUAUUUCUUGAGCAUUGUCAUGUGCCAAGUGCUGUGCCAGCCCUGGGGGGUACCACAGGGAGAGAGAAAGAGGAGAGAGAAAAAGAAAGGACAACAUCUUUACUCUCAAGGCGCUCACAAUCUGCUAGAAGACACAGAAAGGAAGCAAAACCCCCAAGGAAAACUAAAAUUAAAACCGAAAAGUACCGUGAAGAAAAAACUCAUGAUGCCGCGUGGGGAAAAUAAAGUCUUCACUGGGAGUUCCCUGGUGACUCAGCAGGUUAAAGAUCUGGCAUUGUCACUGCUCUGGCUCUGGUUACUGCCAUGGUGCAGGUCCGAUCCCCAGCCCAGGAACUUCCAAAUGCCCUGAGUGAAGCCAAAAAAAAAAAAAAAAGUCUUUGUCAGGAAGCUCAGGGCAGGGUGCUCCCAUCGUGGUUCAGCAAAAAGGAAUCUGACUAGUAUCCAUGAGGAUGCAGGUUUGACACCUGGCCUCACUCAGUGGGUUAAGACUGUGGUAUUACUGUGAGCUGUGGUGUAGGUUGCAGGCGUGGCUUGGAUCGGCCAGCAGCUGCAGAUCCGAUUGGACCCCCAGCCUGGGAACUUCCAAAAGACAAAAAAAGCUCAGGGACGGUCCCUGAACUGGAGAUGAAGGCCAGUAGGGGCCAACCAGGCAGAGAAGGGGGAAGAAAGGAGAAGAGAACCGUGUCUCGGUCAGAGGAAUAGCAUGUGCCAAAGUCCUGUGGCAGAAAGGAGAAAGGGGCCCUGGAGGGAAGCAAGGUGAAAACAGUGGAGACAGUCUUGUUAAAGAUGCAGGUCUUCAUCCUAAGGUAGUUUGCAUGAGGGUGGGGGUGGUGGAGAUGGAGAGAAGCAAACAGGUUUGCACAACGUUUCAGGAGUAACAUUACCGGAACGUGGGAGUGAAUUUGACCUGGAGAGAGAGCAUGUUGUCAACGAUGAGUCCUCCAUUCCUGGCCUCUGAGUUCAUGGAGAAAGGAACUUGGAUGGCAGCAUCACACUGCCCAGGCCCUUCCUAGCAGUCCCGCCCCAGCCUAUGCCCCCAUGAUGCUGAGUCCAUUUCAAGUCUCCUGGGCGUGUCGAGUUGGCUUGCUGCACUCUUUGCUAAACCCUCUCAGAGCGGGGGUGGUGGGGGGCGGAGAACAUCCUCUCAUUUUAAUCCAGCAACCCACCUCCAAAAACCUUCUCUCUGAAGGCUCAACUGAGCCACGUGCCUCUCAGUCAUUUCCAGGGAAGGGUGGGCCGGCUUCAUCAGCACUAAGUGAAAUCCUGUGUUCCUGCCAGAGGCUUUGAUAUAUGGGACGAUGCUGGCAAGAGCUGGGGCUGGGGCGGGGGGAGGAUCUUUUUUUAAUUUUUUUAAUCCACCUCCAUGGAAUCGCUUGAAUGGCAGUUGACAAUUAGCUGCUAAGUAAAAGGAGGCACUUAUUUUUAUUGCAGGGGGCCUUGACAGCUUUAUGUUCACUCUUUAAAAGCCCAGAGUCCUGUGUGUAAAGGUGAGCAGGGAGGAGAAGUAGUGUGGGAAGGAGGAAGGGAGGGCCAGGGGCAGGUGCCGACAGAUCCCAUGGUUUCUGUGCCGGAGUCUGAACCCGAGCAGUUAUUUACAAGGAUGUGCUGAUCUGGAAGCCAGAGAGGAUGGUUCCUCCAGCCUGGGGAGGACGGAAAGCCUGAGGCUGGCCCGGCAGAAACCACGAUUCCUCGGCCCCCGCCAUGCCUCAUAUUCCCAUGCCGCGGUGGGAAUGGGGCUGUGGCUUCCCUGCUCUGGCACUGCUCUUUUGCUGGAAUUUCAGGAAAAAAAACCCCAAACUCCAGAAGAAAGGUAUUUCUUUUCUCUUUGGGGAUUCAGUUCUUUCACUAAAAGACACUUGGCCCCGUUCCCCUUUCCUCUCCUGGCUGAGAUGGAGAUGCUCCGGGGACUGGCCAGUGGGGAUGACAGAGCCAGUGGGGAGGAGGGAAAAAGGGGCAGGGCAGCACUUGGUGACCUGGGCUGACUGAAGGUGGGUGGAAGGGGCUCUUGGGCUGAAUGCAGGAGUGUUUGAGCUCUGAUAAAAGAGGAUCUAAGGUAGAAAGGAAGGGGACAGCUCCUCCUUCUCCUGGUGCUUCCCGGGACCAACACAGUGUUCUGGGGUUUUCCAGCCAAUCUGGGGAGGGGGCUUGAGAAGUAGAGGAUGGAGGAUGGCUUGAGAGCAGAGGCUGGGCUUCACCCUAUAUCCCCUCCUCUCGAGACUGUUUUAUUCCACUGACUUUAAACAAGAAGGAUUAAAGCCCCGAUUUUAGAAUCACAGGGCAAAUGCAACCUUGGACAAACACCUAAGCCGAGCCUCAGUUUUCUCAUCUGUAAAAUGGAACAAUGUGUUCUACUUUGUGAAGUUCUUACGAGGGCUAAACAAGAACACACAUGAACGUUUUUUUAGGGUGGGUAGUUUGUCAGAAAAUUAGCUUAAUUAAAUGUGUGAAUUAUGAGAUCACAUAGUAGAAUUCAUUAAGAUUUGCACUGGUUUAGAUGGAAAUGCAUCUGGUAAUGGUGCCAGGGUCAGAGUGAUGGGCAGUGGUGAGUGGCCGAGUGGCCUGCUGAGGGUAGAAAGAACAGCAGGGUGCUAGUUCCUUGAAGGGCUGCGUGUGAGCUGGGAGGGGACAGCAUAGAAAGGGGCCUCUUGCUUUCCUUGGGGUGGAAAAUGGUCUUUGAGUAUCAUGCCCUGUCUGCGGUCUUCUGCCUUCACUGGUCACUUCCCUAGGAUUCCUGGGUCACUUAUUCCCUCAUUGCUAAGCCAUUUCAUGUCCACUUGGGAUCAAAGGGCAGCAAUCAGAACCAGAAGUCAGAGGUAGAUAGAACUCAGGAUUGGGUCUAUGGAGUUCUAGGGAUGUUUUGGCUUUUAUACUCCUUACCUGCGAUGGGAGAUGAAGCAUGGCAAAGCAUGGUGUAGACCAGCUGAAGAAUCGAGGAUGCCCUUCCUCUCGUGCCAGAAGGGACCUGCGGGCCUGAUGGCUCUAGAGCAGGCAGCUCUCAUUUCUUGUUGGUGGGAAUAGCUUGGGCUGAUUUCUAGGCUGCAGCUGGAAAGUUCAGAGUCUUCCUCAUAUGGGGAUAUUUAAAGCUGUGCGAUUAUGAAGGACUUGCACCCGAGGAAGGGAAGUGCUGGGACCCUUCGGCCUUUAGAGGACAGGGAGAAAGGAGGAGGAAGAGCUGAGGUGGCUGAGACGGAGGAGCUAAUGCAGUGAAUGGAGAAACCAAAGUCAUGUGAGAGAUUGUCUCAAGAAAGAGGGGUGAUUGCAGAGGAACUUAUUCAUAAAACAGAAAGACACACACAGACUUAGAAAACAAGAUUAUGGUUACCAAAGGGGACAGCUGCGGGGGCAGGGAGGAUAAAUUAGGGGUUUGAGAUUAACGUGGACACUGCACUGUUUGUAAAAUAAGUAAACAAGGACCUGCUGUAUAGCACAGGUAACUCAAUAUCUUGUAAUAACUUAUAAUGGGAAAGAAUCUGAAAAAGAACAUAUCUGUAUCUGUAUCUGUCUCUAUUAUCUAUCUGUCUAUCUAUCCAUCUAUCCGUAUCUGAUUCGCUUUGCUAUACACCUGAAACUAACACAAUGUUGUAAACUAAUUCUACCUCAAUUAAAAAAAAAAACAUUUAAAGAGAAAGCAGCAACACAACACUGUAAAUCAACUAUACUUCAAUAAAAUUUUAAAAAAUGGAAAAAAAAAAUAAAAAA
rnacentral:lncRNA from 1 species